GAUGAACGCUGGCGGCGUGCUUAACACAUGCAAGUCGAACGAGAAAUGGAGAUGGAAACCUUCGGGCGGAAGCCUUCAUUUCGAGUGGCGGACGGGUGAGUAACGCGUGGGUAACCUGCCUCAUACAGGGGGAUAACAGUUGGAAACGACUGUUAAUACCGCAUAAGACCACAGCACCGCAUGGUGCGGGGGUAAAAACUCCGGUGGUAUGAGAUGGACCCGCGUUCGAUUAGCCAGUUGGCGGGGUAACGGCCCACCAAAGCGACGAUCGAUAGCCGAUUUGAGAGGAUGACCGGCCACAUUGGGACUGAGACACGGCCCAAACUCCUACGGGAGGCAGCAGUGGGGAAUAUUGCACAAUGGGGGAAACCCUGAUGCAGCGACGCCGCGUGAGUGAAGAAGUAUUUCGGUAUGUAAAGCUCUAUCAGCAGGGAAGAAAANGACGGUNC
rnacentral:rRNA from 1 species